UACGAAGGGUGCGAGCGUUAUUCGGAAUCACUGGGCGUAAAGGGUGCGUAGACGGUAUGUUAAGUUUGUUGUUAAAGGCUCCGGCCUAACUGGAGUAUUGCGAUGAAAACUGGCAAACUAGAGGGUGAGAGAGAGAAGUGGAAUUCCCGGAGUAGCGGUAAAAUGCGUGGAUCUCGGGAGGAACACCAAUGGCGAAGGCAGCUUCUUGGCUCAUACCUGACGUUGAGGCGCGAAAGCGUGGGGAGCAAACAGG
rnacentral:rRNA from 1 species